AACGAACGCUGGCGGCGGGCCUCAUACAUGCAAGUCUAGCGCGAAAGUCCGCAAGGAUGAGUAAAGCGGCGCACGGGUGAGUAACACGUGGAUAAUCUACCCUUUGGAUUGGAAUAACCUGUCGAAAGACGGGCUAAUGCCAAGUAAGCUCUCGGAAAUGUGAUGUUUCUGCGAGGAAAGAUGGUGCAAGCUAUCGCCGAAGGAUGAGCCUGCGUCCCAUUAGCUAGUUGGUGGGUAAAAGCUUACCAAGGCAAUGAUGGGUACCUGGUCUGAGAGGAUGACCAGGCACACUGGAACUGAAACACGGUCCAGACUCCUACGGGGAGCAGCAGUAGGGAAUAUUGCGCAAUGGACGAAAGUCUGACGCAGCCAC
rnacentral:rRNA from 1 species